AUGGAGGGAAUUUAUAAUUUUUUAUAUUAAUUUGUACGUGCUUUUACUGAAAGCACUGAAUAGUGAUUUAAUCUUAAGUUAUAAAUUUUAACGAAAAAUUAGAGUGAUAAACUUAUUCCCUAUUUUCAGAGGUGACGCUGUAGAGGAUGAAAGAAAUGGGGCGGGAGUGAGUACUCGCCCCCUGAAUUCUCUUCUAGUUCUGGUUACAAUACUUACCAUGGCCCAACCAAACACUACCGCACCCCGCUUCUACAUAGUAUUGAAGCUGCAAAGCCUCUUAGGUUUACGGACUCGCCACAACAUUAUCCCUCAUUGAAACCAAACCCUGUUCCACGGAGGAAGUCUAGUUGUACGAGUAUAGAAGGAGAGGUUCACUAUCCUCCUCCUCCUGCCCCCUAUGCUGCCUGUGAUGUUUUAGAAACAAGGAACUACGAAAGUCCACGUCGAUACCCUUCACGCACAGAAUAUUAUCACAAUCCUGUGCUUAGUGAUCACCAGUUAUCGUCAGGUUUCCAUCACUACCCCCCUGAAUAUCCUAGUCAUUACCCUGAACGACUCUACCCAGCACCUGCCCUCCAGGAUGAUCCAUACUACCAGCCGUAUGCAUAUGACACCCCAACAUCACGCCUGUCCGUAGACCCACCCACCGUCGCACACCGUCCAAUGUUUCCAAUGCCUCGAGUGGCUCCAACGUCAACCCAGGCUUUCGACUCGAAGCAGAUGACUCGGAGUUCUAUAACCAUAACCACCCUUACCCAGCUACCUCGAGACAGGGAACGUGCGAAGAGCCGGAAUUAUUCUAGCUACUUUUCCCGCCAGAAUUCCAUCGACUCCAACAGUUCAGAUAGGCCUACAACACUGGAAGUUUCAACAACUAGGCUCCGCUCGAGUUUGAAGAGGCACAACCGGCAACCCAACAAUGGCUCAUCAUCCUCCGGACCAGGUACGCCUACGAAUCCAACUCCCCCGACAGUCUGA
rnacentral:lncRNA from 1 species